rnacentral:rRNA from 1 species
CUCUUCUUGAAUAUAUUUUGAUGUAUGGCCUGCCCACUGAAUAUUGAAGGGCCGCGGUAUUUUGACCGUGCAAAGGUAGCAUAAUCAUUAGUCUUUUAAUUGUAGGCUGGAAUGAAUGGUUUGACGAGGUGUUAACUGUCUUUAAUUUUUUUUGUUGAAUUUAAAUUUUAGGUUAAAAUGCCUAAAUAUUUUUUUGGGACGAGAAGACCCUAUAGAGUUUUAUAUAUUUUUAUUUUUUUGUGUGUUAAUUUUUGAUGUAAAAAUUUAUUUUGUUGGGGUGAUGGGAAGAUUGAAUUAACUCUUUUUAUUUUAAUUAUAUUCAUUUAUAUGUAUUUGAUCCAUUUUUAUUGAUUAUAAGACUAAAUUACC